UCAGUGAGCGGUUAGGAUUAUGCAGCAACAAGGAGGAUCGGUUUAGCAUGGGAUUUUGAACAACAGAAGGCAUAAGGCAGGUCUUGACUAAGGUUUACAUAUUUGGGGCUAGUGCUUUUUCAGGAUGAGGAGUGGCUCGAGCUGUUAGUGAGGUUGUAGUUGACAAUCCGGUCAAGUGAGAUCUUACACAUUUCAUUCCAUGUUAGCAUUAUGUUGCUGGUUGUAUUUUAUAUUUGAA